CGCGCCGCCACACACGACGCACGACGCACGCUUAGUGAGCCGAGAUGCGUUUAGCAUCCAAACAUGCAAAGGUGCACGUGGGUAACUGAUGAGCGAGCAAGUGUGAAGCCAGAUGUAACGCUACCAAAGCAAGCUGGGAGUUAACAAUCGCUUGUCCAACUACCAAGGCGAGCUCUGAGUUGUAACCUGGUGCCAGUGGAAAGGAACGUCAAAGCACAAGUCUUGCAGAUCGAUACUCACUCCUCAGAGAGAUCUUCCACCAUCUAAAGAUUAUCUGCAAUUGAACAGAAGGUGCCAAGCCCUCGAAGCAUAUCACUGCGUCGUCCUGUGAGGCCCUCGCUAUCCCGCCCCACGCUGGUAGUGACA